GAUGAACGCUGGCGGCGUGCCUAAUACAUGCAAGUCGAGCGAACAGAUGAGGAGCUUGCUCCUCUGACGUUAGCGGCGGACGGGUGAGUAACACGUGGAUAACCUACCUAUAAGACUGGGAUAACUUCGGGAAACCGGAGCUAAUACCGGAUAAUAUAUUGAACCGCAUGGUUCAAUAGUGAAAGACGGUAUUGCUGUCACUUAUAGAUGGAUCCGCGUCUCAUUAGUUAGUUGGUAAGGUAACGGCUUACCAAGGCGACGAUCCGUAGCCGACCUGAGAGGGUGACCGCCCAAACUGGAACUGAGACACGGUCCAGACUCCUACGGGAGGCAGCAGAAGGGAAUCUUCCGCAUUGGGCGAAAGCCUGACGGAGAAACGCCGCGUGAGUGAUGAAGUUCUUCGGAUCGUAAAACUUUGUUAUUAGGGAAGAACAAAUGUGUAAGUAACUAUGCACGUCUUGACGGUACCUAAUCAGAAAGCCACGGCUAACUACGUG
rnacentral:rRNA from 1 species